GACAGGGGGCUCGAGCGUUAAUCGGAAUCAUUGGGCUUAAAGGGUGCGUAGGCGGGUUGCUAAGUGUUCUGUGAAAUCCCCCGGCUCAACCGGGGAAUCGCAGGGCAUACUGGCAGCCUUGAGGCAUGUAGGGGCGGACGGAACUGUAGGUGGAGCGGUGAAAUGCGUAAAUAUCUAACAGGAACGCCGAUGGUGAAGACGGUCCGCUGGGCAUGUCCUGACGCUGAGGCACGAAAGCGUGGGGAGCAAACAGG
rnacentral:rRNA from 1 species